rnacentral:rRNA from 1 species
UACGUAGGGUGCGAGCGUUAAUCGGAAUUACUGGGCGUAAAGGGUGCGCAGGCGGUUCCGCAAGUCAGGCGUGAAAUCCCCGGGCUUAACCUGGGAAUGGCGCUUGAAACUACGGGACUGGAGUAUGGCAGAGGGAGGUGGAAUUCCACGUGUAGCGGUGAAAUGCGUAGAGAUGUGGAGGAACACCGAUGGCGAAGGCAGCCUCCUGGGCCAAUACUGACGCUCAUGCACGAAAGCGUGGGGAGCAAACAGGAUUAGAAACCCCGGUAGU